rnacentral:misc_RNA from 1 species
AAAAAAAAUUAGUGAAACUGCAAUUAGGAUGACACAUAAAAGGAAAAUAUAUGAACAAACUUUUCUAGACAUAUUUGCAAUCUGAAUCCUCCAGAAGCUCAUUUUCUAGUUCUUUUACAUUCUUAACAAUAUCCUGAACCUUACUUGACAAGUGAUUAGUAUGUUCCUCUAUAUAUGCCAACACCAUGCGUAAUUGUUCCUGAUAAGCAGCACACUGACGUUUACAUCGUUGUUUCUCAUUAUUAAGCUCAAUGGUCAAUUCUCGUAUUCUCUUAUCUUUCUCAUCCUGAAAAAUUACAAAUUUUAGCGGGAGAAUAGCAAAAUAAGACUUAAAGAGAACUGUUAACAAAUGGAGAACUAAAAGUGUUUUAUAUUUUCCUUACCUGAAAGUUAUGUAUAAAAAACCUGGAAUUUAUAAAUCUUUAUCCAUGAUUCAUUAUGUGAUGUAGGGGACUCAUUUACUGAUUAAAGGUAACAUUAAUAAUUUCAGCACAAUUUAUUCUGAUAAAUAAUAAGUAUUAUCCUAUAGUGACCAUGCCAAAAAAAGCCCAUAGCACCAAGCUGAGGGCUAGGCAAUAAAUUGUUGAACCGCCGGAUAUAGUCUACUAGACUAAUCACAACCAAUUUACACUAGGACUGAGUUUAGCACUGAAUUUGCUUUGCUUGUGACAGGAGCAAUUUGGCUAGGGUCCACCUCUAUAGUUUCUCAGCUGGCAACAAAUGGGCAUUAAAACAGCCAACUAACUAUUGAGAAAUAUCAGAAGUACCUCCAUGUACGUAUUGAGAUAGAAAACAUACCUCACCGAUCAAAUUCUUUGCAGACCCUCGCCAUGGUACUUUGCUAGGAGACAUUAAUGUAUGAUUGUGCUCUUUUAUGAAUUUGGAGACGACCCACUUAACUCCAUCCCUUAAAGCUAAUCUCAACAUUGCAGGACAGCCUUCUCGGGUUAUAGGUGGGGGAGGAAGAACUCUAUCUUUCCUGUAUAUGUAUUUCUUUUCGCGAAAACCUUCUUUGGAGCAAACAAAAUCCUGACCAAUAACCAUGUUAUUUACUCGAGAGCGUCGGUUAUGAUGAAUGCGCACUGUAAACCCUGUACGCCUCCCAUAAGCAACAUAAAAUUCUCGAGCAUCAUCUCUUGAGUUGAACUCCAUUCCGAUGUAUGGUUCUCCAAUAUCACUUAUUGAAGGUAAAGUUUCUUUAGAUUGCUCUAUGAUCUUGUCAACUUCACCUAGACAUAAAUCAAUAUUUUUUGAGAGCUCAUCUUCGGUGAAUUCAUGUCCAUACUCCUGAAAACAUCUUUCACUGUCAUCUGAACCAUAUGCUUGAUUAGAUGAGCUCUCCAUCAUUCUCUUGCUGCACAUUAGACAAUGUAUUCAUCCAUCCAAUAUCUGCAUGCAGGAAAGCAAAAUUGGAUUUUCAAUUUUCUAAUUUAUUCUCAUAAAUCACGUUUUUGAGCUGAAAUUAGGAGACAUAAACUGUAUAUAUAUGCAAACAAUAAAAAAUAAAAAGGAAAACAAACCUGCACACGAAAGUUAAAUUAGAACAGAAUUGGGAUAAAAAAGCCGAGGAAGACAAUAAUAAGCCCUUGCAUCUUUACCAAGUGCUGAUUAUUAUAGUAUGUAAAUACUAAACAAAUCAGGAAAGAGAACUGGUUUCAUAAGAAGCAGAUCCAACCUUCAUCCUAUUUUCAAGCGGUGGCGUUAGGCAACAAUGCAAUCAUGACAUUCUAGGAUUUUUAUCAUUGACCUAACUCUUCAAAUACUUACUAAAAUGCAAUGGACUUUGCUUUACAACUACAUUACUCUUUAGACUGGUGCCAACAUUAAUUUGGUUUUUUAAUAAGGAAAAUAUAACUUUCCAAACAAAGUAAAUAGGAUUCUAGUUCUAAAGGUUCUCAUUUAAGUCAAGCUUUUGGUGGAAUUUCACAUCAGGAGUUCUAAAGAUUCUAAAGUUUGCAUGUAGCAGCUAUAAUAUGAAUUGAUAACACUAUAUCAUAGUAAGACAAAUUCGGCUGCAAAGUGAAAUCAAAUUGAAUCACGGACAUCAUUAUCUUUGGCUUGUUAAGAACACAACAGGUACAACAAUAAUCCACUAAUCUUAGACAUAAUUAUCUUUGAGAUAAGCGAAGAGGCUGAGCAUUGAAUACAGUAUUUUUAUAAUACUCCUUCAGAAUCAUUCAAAAAUGCCCAAUUCACAAGUCCCCAUUUACAAGUCACAGUUAAUGUUUAAGCCAGAUAAAAUUGAUGCCCUUUUGCUUCUACUUGUAGUCUAUAUCCUCUACAAUCCCUGCAAUGGUAGAGUAGGAAUUGCCCUGCCAAUACCAAAAUAUCAUGGCACAGUAGAAAAGUGGAAAGUUUUAAGCGCCGUACCUGAGAUGGAUUUUCCAGUAAUUGGCGUGAGAUAUUGCAAUAUGAAAGAAAUGCGUCUAAAUCUAGCUUUAAUUAUCUCAUCUUGAAUUUCACUUUUUCUUUUCAUUUUUUCUGCUUAGCUCUAGUUUUCUACCAAACCAAACAGAAAAUUCUGUGGCAAAUAGCGCUAAAGCUAAAAAGGCAAAAGAAAUUACUAAUAAAAAGAAAUUGGCUUCUAAAAAAUAUAAAGUGUUGAUGAGCGUACCA